ensembl:miRNA
AGGAGCAGGGGGUGGUCAAGCUGACGGACUUUGGCUUCAGCAACCGCUUCCAGCCCGGCA